UGAGUGGCACCUCACAGAUACAGCAAAGCAACUACAACGUAGAGCGGGGACUCUACUCCGAGAGUGAGAGAGAAAGAGAGAGAGCGAGAGCGAGGGAGAGAAAGAGAGAGAAAGAGAGAAGGAGAGCUCUCUGUCUCUGGACAUUACAUAAUUGAUACUCAUACUGAACAAGGCAUGGAAGGGAGAGGAGGAGGCAUUAUAGAGAAAAAAGAAUGGGAGAAGACCAUGAAGAUGAAGUGACAACAAUCUCAUUAGGUCGAACCACACUUUAAUAUGAUAACAGAGCACCUUUUCUCCUGGGGACCCGUCAGAUCAUUAAGACAAGGAACAUUAGCAGGAGCGAAAAGGGACUUUGGUUCAAGACCUAAAGUGAAGUAGAUGACAGGACGAAUAACACAGAUGGACCAUUCAUUUUGUUUAUCUCUCUUUGGACUCAGUUUGACGGAACCCUAAACAGCCCUGUGUGGAUUCACAGCACAGGGAUAGCCUGUAAGUGUGAGCUCACUCAGGGGAGGAGACGGGGGUGUGAGAUUGGGGAGAUGAGUCUGGGAGGAUAACAAGCAGCUGUGUGGAGGAAAGAGCGGGCAGAGGAGGGCAGAUCCACCAUGUCCCUCAGUGGAAGGGGCAGUAUAUCCCAGGAUGGGGGGCCAGUGGCCAGUAACGAGCGCAGGAACACACGAGUGAAGAGGGCUGUCCGCAUCUCCAGCAUCGUGGCUCAGGAGAGAUUUACCACAAUGCUGCCAGGAGCUUGCAGAUAUCAAGAAUGAUGCGCUUUACGAUGACCAAAGAUUAUCAGAGGGAUUUUCAAGUUGAACUGAUGUGAUGGGGAAUACAUUUCGACGACAGCUGAGAAGUGAUGCGAUACCAUCUAUUUUUUUUCCCUUCACAACAAAACGGAAGAUUCUUGAUUAGAGAUUGUACCAAGAUGUCCAUCUAACCCCUAGCUCUGCACAAGGUGAAGGUUAUCUGGAGUCAUUCCACAGUGCCCUGCUGAAAAAUACCCCAAAGCUGCGACAUUUUGGGUACACAAGCAUGAGGGAGCGGACACACCUUGCGGUUAUGGAGCGCAACAAGAUUGUGGGACAGAAACCAGCAAGGGACACUGAAAGGAGACAUGCAGAACCAGCAAAUCUUCUGCAAUAGUUGGUGGUUAAGAAGCCCUAUACCACUUUCGGCAGAAUCUUAUCCAGCUGGCCGUUCACCGCAGACAGGACAAGACCAUUUACCAUAAGCACAAAGAGUCUCAGCUUCCCCAGCCCACCAUGCCAAACACCAUUGCCAGUGUACUGAAGCCGGAUAAAGGACUUUUGACCAAUCAGAUCAGUUCUGAAAAAUAUCUGAUGUGAAAAGAUCUGAUGUGAUUAAGACCAAUUAGUGCAAUAAACAUCAGAAUUGGGCUGUCUGUGUAAACGCAGCCAGUGUGGCUCAGCAUAAGACCAUGUUGCACAGGGGUC